rnacentral:lncRNA from 1 species
AUUAGGUAUAUAAUAGGCAGCCCACCAAUGAUCUAACACUAAAGAAAAGUCCGUGCCUGAAAACAACAGCUAAACAAAAGCCACAUAUUGGCUAUUCCACAACUUAACGUGAAUUAGUCGCCUACUCUUAGCCAACAAAGAAAAGCAUGUUUAAACAAUUCAAAAUCCAAGUAUAUAUAACAAUAAUUCUUGCGCUGCAGUUUUGUAGUUUUUGGAAGUUCUAAAUAGAAAAGUGGAUUUUGAUGACUAACUCGUUUCCUUGGCUCUAGAAAGUUUCAACUUGUGAACCACAUAGCGGCCAACAGCUUUUUAGUCCAUUCUAUGCCAGAGGAAGUACCCAAAAGAGCGACCACAAGCAUUGGACACAAAAAGCAAUCAAAUACAAAUAGGCUAAGCCAGGAUUUUAAUUCAUUGGGUAC